UGGCGCCAGAGCCCGACCGGCUGUGGGUCCUGCAGCUUCAGUGAAAGGAGUCCUUCUGUCACUCGUCACUAGCUCGCUCGCUCACUGUGGGAGGAGCCCGCCUGAGGAAGCCGUGUGCCUGGGAUGCCAAGAGCCAGAGAAUGGAUCUUCUCCGAGUGGGGACAUUGCUGACAAUCCCGGCUUCCCGAGGCGGCUAAGAACAGGCAGUUUGUGUCGGCUGGCUGCAGAUACCCAGAGGCACAAAGAGACCGAAGCCACCCGGAGGGACCCACGGACGGACAGAUGGUAGGCGCGAACCCGAGAGGACCGGCGGAGGCUGAGCACCGAGAGCCGCCAAGGAAGAGAAACUAACCACGGCCAAGUUACCCCGCCGGCUUUCCUUCGCUGCGCUAAGGAAUGAAACCCUUCCAGCUCGAUCUGCUCUUCGUCUGCUUCUUCCUCUUCAGUCAAGGUAGGACCCCUGCGCUGCUGGAGUUGGAAGAAAGUCGGCUGGGUUGUCAGGGCGCGGGAGGCUGUGGGCAGGAAUGUGGGCAGGCUUCGGGAACUCGGACUGAUGGAUGCGUCUCUCGGUGCCGGGCUGAGAUGCCCUGGCAUUGCCUCUUUGCCUUUGCGAAUGCAACAAAAUG
rnacentral:lncRNA from 1 species